GUCUGGUGCGCCGUGCUCCAGCCGAGAGGCCACCAGAUCCGACCGCCGCCGACGCGAGUGUGCGGGCGCAGCCGCCGCGGGCCAGCCACGCCGGGCGAAGAGCGGAUCUAGCCACCCAGCACAGCGGAUCUAGCCACCCAGCACACCGAUCCAGCCUUCCCAACGGCUUACAGGCCAGGAGGGAGGAGUGGAGGGGAUGGAAGAAGGGAGCAGGAGACGGGAAGGGGAGGGAAAUGAGGGAAAAAACGGUCCCGCCGCUGUCCUCCUCGCUGCUCGCCGGACUUUCGGCGAGCUGCUCCGGCGACGGCGAAGUGAAGACCUGUGCGGCGGGUGGAGUUGAGUGGGAUCGAUGGAGGAGCCGCCCGUGUCGCCCAGAGGAGGACGACGCGGUGGCGUUCUUUCUUCCUGUGGACAAAAUCAAACACAGUCAGAUGCAAAAGAGAACAGAAACAGUAGAGGGUCAUGGAGGACGUGUCUCAUUCAUCGAGGGUGAAUGCAGGGUGAGUCCUGGCGAUGGCGGCUCAGCUAAUGCGAAGGAUUCCUCGGCCCCCGCACGGUCUCCACGUUUGCAGACAGCACGCACAGCUACUACGCACGAUUGCGGUUGAAGCAAAACGGCGGCUCCAACGAGCGGGAUCCAAACGACGGUGACUGACACUCACACGUGCGCAAGCAGAGGCGGAGAGUCCGGCGGUGUGGGGUCAGCUUGGCCAUGGCCUAAAUGGAAUCCCUAUAGAGCAGAGUCGUGGGAGAACACGACUAGGAAGAAGGAACUGUCACGCGGGGCCCAUGCUACAGGGCAGCGAACAACGCGCGACAUGCGGGUGCCAAUCCGGAAAGAAGACGAUUUUAUGUUUUACGCCAUCGCGCCGGUGCAGGCGUGGAGAUGGGCCGAGCGAAUUCGGCCGGCUGGCGUCCCACUCCCACGCGGGUGAGAAGACCGGGAGAGGCGCUGGGCUGGCAGCCUGGCACUGGGAUUGAGCCCGCGAUCGGCAAAGCCUUUCCUUUUUAUUUUCUUUUUCAUUUCAGUUUUAAAUUUCAGAUUCAAACGAAUUUCAAACAGUUCGAGCUCAAAUUCAAACACAAACAAACAAAACCAAUGCUUUGGCACAUAGUUCACAAUAUAACUUUAUAUUUACCCUAAUAUUUAUUUUUAGCAAAG
rnacentral:misc_RNA from 1 species